rnacentral:rRNA from 1 species
UGGGGAAUUUUGGACAAUGGGCGCAAGCCUGAUCCAGCAAUGCCGCGUGCAGGAUGAAGGCCUUCGGGUUGUAAACUGCUUUUGUACGGAACGAAAAGGCUCUGGUUAAUACCUGGGGCUCAUGACGGUACCGUAAGAAUAAGCACCGGCUAACUACGUGCCAGCAGCCGCGGUAAUACGUAGGGUGCAAGCGUUAAUCGGAAUUACUGGGCGUAAAGCGUGCGCAGGCGGUUAUAUAAGACAGAUGUGAAAUCCCCGGGCUCAACCUGGGACCUGCAUUUGUGACUGUAUAGCUAGAGUACGGUAGAGGGGGAUGGAAUACCGCGUGUAGCAGUGAAAUGCGUAGAUAUGCGGAGGAACAACGAUGGCGAAGGCAAUCCCCUGGACCUGUACUGACGAUCAUGCACGAAAGCGUGGGGAGCAAACA